rnacentral:rRNA from 1 species
AGCGAACGCUGGCGGCAGGCUUAACACAUGCAAGUCGAGCGGGCCCUUCGGGGUCAGCGGCGGACGGGUGAGUAACGCGUGGGAACGUGCCUUCUGGUUCGGAAUAACCCUGGGAAGCUAGGGCUAAUACCGGAUACGCCCUUUUGGGGAAAGGUUUACUGCCGGAAGAUCGGCCCGCGUCUGAUUAGCGAGUUGGUGGGGGAACGGCCUACCAAGGCGACGAUCAGUAGCUGGUCUGAGAGGAUGAUGAGCCACACUGGGACGGAGACACGGCCCAGACUCCUAAGGGAGGCAACAGUGGGGAAUAUGGGACAAUGGGCGCAAGCCUGAUCCAGCCAUGCCGCGUGAGGGAUGAAGGCCUUAGGGUUGUAAAGCUCUUUUAUCCGGUACGAUAAUGACGGUACCGGAGGAAUAAGCCCCGGCUAACUUCGUGCCAGCCGCCGCCGUAA